AGGCGAUUACAGGUACGGGCUCUGAGAGGAGAAGCCGGAGAUGGGUACUGAGACAAGGACCCAGGCCCUAUGGGGCGCAGCAGGCGAGAAAACUUUGCAAUGUGCGAAAGCACGACAAGGUUAAUCCGAGUGAUUUCUGCUAAAGGAAUCUUUUGUUAGUUCUAAAAAUACUAGUGAAUAAGGGGUGGGCAAGUUCUGGUGUCAGCCGCCGCGGUAAAACCAGCACCUCAAGUGGUCAGGAGGAUUAUUGGGCCUAAAGCAUCCGUAGCCUGUUCUAUAAGUUUGCGGUUAAAUCUAUACGCUCAACGUAUAGGCUGCUGUAAAUACUGUAGAACUAGGGAGUGGGAGAGGUAGACGGUACUCGGUAGGAAGGGGUAAAAUCCUUUGAUCUAUCGAUGACCACCUGUGGCGAAGGCGGUCUACCAGAACACGUUCGACGGUGAGGGAUGAAAGCUGGGGGAGCAAACCGGAUUAGAUACCCGGGUAGUCCCAGCUGUAAACGAUGCAGACUCGAUGAUGCAAUGGCAUAGAGCUAUUGCAGUAUCGCAGGGAAGCCGUUAAGUCUGCCGCCUGGGAAGUACGUACGCAAGUAUGAAACUUAAAGGAAUUGGCGGGGGAGCACCACAAGGGGUGAAGCCUGCGGUUCAAUUGGAUUCAACGCCGGG
rnacentral:rRNA from 2 species